rnacentral:rRNA from 1 species
GACGAACGCUGGCGGCGUGCCUAAUACAUGCAAGUAGAACGCACAGUUUAUACCGUAGCUUGCUACACCAUAGACUGUGAGUUGCGAACGGGUGAGUAACGCGUAGGUAACCUGCCUGGGAGCGGGGGAUAACUAUUGGAAACGAUAGCUAAUACCGCAUAAUAUUGAUUAUUGCAUGAUAAUUGAUUGAAAGAUGCUAUUGCAUCACUACCAGAUGGACCUACGUUGUAUUAGCUAGUAGGUGAGGUAACGGCUCACCUAGGCGACGAUACAUAGCCGACCUGAGAGGGUGGUCGGCCACAAUGGGAAUGAGACCCGGCCCAGACUCCUACGGGAGGCAGCAGUAGGGAAUCUUUGGAAAUGGACGAAAGUCUGACCGAGCAACGCCGCGUGAGUGAAGAAGGUUUUCGGAUCGUAAAGCUCUGUUGUAAGAGAAGAACGGGUGUGAGAGUGGAAAGUUCACACUGUGACGGUAUCUUACCAGAAAGGGACGGCUAACUACGUG